rnacentral:snRNA from 1 species
AUCACUUCUCGGCCUUUUGGCUAAGAUCAAGUGUAGUAUCAGAACUGAAGAAGUAUGCUUGCAGCAUAGCACGCCCU